rnacentral:misc_RNA from 1 species
UUAGUGAUGGAUGAGGUGUUUCAUGCAUGAAAAGUGUUCAACAUCUUUACGAGAACCGAAAUUUGUGGUAUUAUAUUUCACAUGUAUAGAGCCAGAGCUGCUUUAGUAUGUUCAAAAAUUGUCAGAACUCUCGAAACUCUAGUUUUAAAGUUGAGGAAAGUAGCUGAUAUUUUUGAGACACUCUGUAUAUAGGUACACAUUUUUACCUUGUUUCGGGACAUUACCUGUCAAUCUCAUUACGUACUAUAACUAUGUUUAAACCAAUCUCUUAGAUUUUCAAGGAAAUAUAAGUUACUAGUUUAUACUUAGAUCCAAUAAUGUUUCAAGAUUUUCAAAAUGCAUUAAGUACUUAUAUUUUAUGUUCACGUUUACAUAUAUCUUUUAUGUGUCUAUUUAAAGCACAUUUAACAUACAUUAUGCCUGAGAUGCUUAAAACAAUAUUGGAACUUAAAGUUAAUUCAAAUCUCCCGGUAAACACAUCUGUAAAGAAAUGAUAGUAGAUUUCUAUAAUUCGACACUACUUUUCGCGCUCACUAGAAUAAACAGUCCAGGCGCACAUGGCAAAUUGCAAUUUAUAACCUCUGUGAUCUGUGGGUCUGUGAUCUAUGCUAUUUACUUUUAUUAAAUUAUAUAUAAUUCAUAUAAUCAGUAUAAUUGAGUGUAAAGAACUGAAUUAAAAUGGAAAUUGAAGAAAAUGUCGAUGAUUUUAAUGACAGUUGCUCAGAUAGCGAUUUAGCGGAUAUAGAGGAGUUAAAUUCACUUUUUCUGCCAUGCCACAAUGUGUCCAGCCAAUCUGUAGGCCCAAAGUAUAUUCUACAUAUUUCAGCGACUAAUGAUACAAAUUGCAAUAUUGUCACGGCACUCUCAGAUGCCAGUUGCGAUGUAUUCAAUCUAACAGAAAGUCAGCUACACAAACUAAAUAAAUUCCAGGAACAUAAUCAGAAGCUAAUUGACUGCAAAUUUAGUUCAGAUAAUAGGAAUCUAUUUUUCACUGGGUCGAGUGAUGGAACAAUCAAAAUUUGGGAUCUUAGAGUGCCGACAGAAUCUGUAAUCACAUUUAAAGAUACAACUCUAACGGAAGGAAGCUCAGUAAAACCGCUAAGCUCCUUUGAUGUAUCUCCCUCUAAUAUUUUAUUGGCCGCUGGGACUGAAUUGACUGAUGGCGAUGCAUAUAUUUUAUUUUGGGAUAUACGGAAUACGGCUUUAUUAGGCGCUUACUGGGAAAGUCAUACUGACGAUAUAACGCAGGUGAAAUUCCACCCAAAUGAUAGUAAUAAGCUAAUAUCGGGCUCAACGGAUAAGUUAAUCAACAUUUACAAUCUUUUGGAAUCCAACGAGGAUGAUGCGUUGCAAGAGUGUUUGAACACCGAGGCGUUGGUAGAAGAGUUGCAGUGGUUUAAUGUUGGUAAACAGUGGAAGAUUAGUUGUGUUACUUCCACAAAUGAUCUCCAGUUAUGGGAAACGGAUGGCGCCGAACCAUACAAAUGUCUUAGCAGAGUGGACAUUGCUUCGCAAAUUAAGAAAAAUCCUGGCAACACAUACAUAGCGGCAAUACACCCUCUGAGGAAUUCUCUGUUUGCUUUAUGUGGAUCAAAUAAUUCACUCAGAAGUUUAAACAUUUCAACACACGAUUUAAAUUCUGGUUAUCAAUGUCUGGAAAAUACUCAGCGCGUGAGAAGUAGUUGGAUUAAUGAACAUACAAAUCUUCUUUUGACCGGAGGGGAAAAAGGAAAAUUAGAUGUUUGGAAACCAGAUUUUAGUCAAUUGAAUUUAAAGGAUUUGAAACGAAAAAAUGGUUCCCAAUGAUACUUUUUCAUUUAAUGAUCCAUUAAUUUAUGAAACCUUUUUAUAGAAAGUUAAUUAAAAAACCUUUGUACAUGUUAUAAUGAUGUUUGCAACAAAAGUCCUCAUUCGUUGCCUUCCAGUAAACAAUUCAUUUAAAGCAUAUUGAUCGUGAGCUCAUGAUCAGGUGAUUAACUGCGUUUUGUAUAAACACUAAUUUAUGCAAUAUAAAAUAUUGCAACUGCAAUUGUUUCCAUGACGAAAAAUAACAAAGAAGCUUGUCACGAAAAUCAAAGUAUUGAUGUAACAUUCAAUUUUGCAAGAUGGGAACUUCAGAAACAAGCAGAGAACUAAAAGAUUUAUAUUUAAAGUUACAAUCUGAUUUGGAUUCAGAUAAAAGAUAUUGGAUAAGAAACGAUGCAAAGUUGAAGGCCGUAGUUACUUCGAAAUCUUAUGACGAAUUCAGGGAAAUUGUGGAAGCUGCUCACCUAAAACCACUCUCGAAGGAGGAUUGCAAGAAGAAAGCAGCGGUGAGCUGGAAUAAAUCAUCAUCUAAUCCGUAAAAAAAACUAAUAAAUAGGUAGACCCUUUUAUUUGAUUUAAAUAAAAGUUACUACCUAGUUUC